rnacentral:rRNA from 1 species
CGAAGGAUGCAAGCGUUAUCCGGAUUUAUGGGUUUAAAGGGAGCGUAGGCGGUCUUAUAAGUCAGUGGUGAAAUCUCGUUGCUUAACACGAACGUGCCAUUGAUACUGUAGGACUUGAGUACAGUUGCCGUUGGCGGAAUGUGUCAUGUAGCGGUGAAAUGCAUAGAUAUGACACAGAACACCGAUUGCGAAGGCAGCUGACGAAACUGUAACUGACGCUGAGGCUCGAAAGCGUGGGGAUCAAACAGGAUUAGAUACCCUGGUAGUCCACGCCCUAAACUAUGAUUACUCGCUGUCGGCGAUAUACAGUCGGUAGCUAAGCGAAAGCGUUAAGUAAUCCACCUGGGGAGUACGCUCGCAAGGGUG